ACUCCUACGGGAGGCAGCAGUGGGGAAUAUUGCACAAUGGGCGCAAGCCUGAUGCAGCCAUGCCGCGUGUGUGAAGAAGGCCUUCGGGUUGUAAAGCACUUUCAGUCGUGAGGAAGGUAGUGUAGUUAACACCUGCAUUAUUUGACGUUACCUACAGAAGAAGCACCGGCUAACUCCGUGCCAGCAGCCGCGGUAAUACGGAGGGGUGCGAGCGUUAAUCGGAAUUACUGGGGCGUAAAGCGCAUGCAGGCGGCCUGUUAAGUCAGAUGUGAAAGCCCGGGGGCUUAACCUCGGAAUUGCAUUUGAAACUGGCAGGCUAGAUCUUGUAGAGGGGGUAGAAUUUCAGGUGUAGCGGUGAAAUGCGUAGAGAUCUGAAGGAAUACCAGUGGCGAAGGCGGCCCCCUGGACAAAGACUGACGCUCAGAUGCGAAAGCGUGGGGAGCAAACAGGAUUAGAUACCCUGGUAGACUGUCA
rnacentral:rRNA from 1 species